rnacentral:lncRNA from 1 species
AUUCUGGCUAGGCCGGGUCCUCCUCUGCCAGAGCCAACCUUCAGCCUGACUUCUAGAAUCACAGAGGCAAAUGGCCUGAGAACUUAGACUCACUCUAGCUUUCUUUUGAUGAGGGACUUCACAGAAGAGGCUGAGAGGGGCCGGAGGGAUGUUGAGUAGGGGUGCUUGAUGGAAAAUUACAAACCGAGAUUCUCACUUCACACCCCUCUGCUGCUGGGAAGUUCUAAAAGACAAAGAGGAAGCACAUGUAAAGGGAAAUUUCCCCUUCUCCCCACAACUUCCCCUCCCCCCACACCACCAGUAGCUGAAGAAACAUCUUUGUCUAGAAGAAGGCACUGUCCCUUCUGAAUGAAGGGCCAUGGGACAGUCUUGUCCCCAGUGCCUUGAGGGCAUGCUCAAGAGAGGUGACGAGGGACUCAUUCUGGAGAAGCUCAUUGGGCAUGCAGCACAAGGCACAUACUCCACACAGGCCCUUCAGCACUGCCGGCUGCCAGGCUAUUCCAGAGAAAUCCUAUCAGUGUACAUCAGUGCCAAGAGGUGCUGCUUAGGACCAGACCCUCCAUGUUCCGAGCCCCCGCUUCCAGAGGCAUCAUAACGAACAUCAACAGCUUCCCUUGAGCUCUUGGGCUAGUCCAGGCAAUGACCAACUUGUCUAUAAUAAUCCCUGCAAACUAUGGAUUAUUAACUUUUCCAGUGUGGGAAACUGAGGCUCGGCUCCUCACCUAACCGACCAGACUGGUAGGUGCUAGAGGAGAGGAGGAAAGCCAGCCCUGUCUGGCUGCAGACCUGAGUCCUCUCUGCAUCAUGUACCUUGAGAUACACACGCUCUGGGUGCUUUCUCUAGGAAAAUCCCAAGGAGAAGGUAGUGGUUCUAGAGCUCUGCCUGGAAGCCACAGAGGGCAGGUACUUGGUGGAAAACUCCAGUGUGUGAUUCACCCUCCUCCCGUGCCCUCAUCAGGGAGGCCAACUCCCCUCCCGAGUUUUCAGUCUUCAGCCUGGGAGGUGGUGGCUUCCAUCUGCUGCUCUGGUAAGAGAGGGCUGUCCCUUGCCUAAGAAGGGGAUGGUACUGUGGUGGGGGGCAGAGGGAGAAAGAGAAGGGGCAAAGAACAAGAGGGGAGAUGAGGGCAGGAUGUGAGGGUCUAAGCCCCUUCCCCCGCUCAGCCCAGCUCCGGAGGGGACAGGACAUCUUGGGACAGUGCCA